GGAGAGAUGCCCGAGUGGCUGAAGGGGCGCGACUGGAAAUCGUGUGUGCCGGCGACGGUACCGAGGGUUCGAAUCCCUCUCUCUCCG
rnacentral:tRNA from 1 species